UCCUGGAUGUAAAUAAAAUUUAAAUUUACCAGAGUACUAUGAAUAUAUAAAAUUUAAAACUCAAAGGACUUGGCGGUAUUUUAGACCAUUUAGGGGAACCUGUCUCAUAAUCGAUAGUCCACGCUACACCUAACCUUUUUUUGCUUUCAGCUUGUAUAUCGUUGUCGUCAGGUAACUUUUUAGAAAUUAGAAGUUAGCUAAAAACAGUAAAUUUAAACGUCAAAUCAAGGUGCAGUUAAUAAAAAGGUGAGGAUGGGUUACAAUUAUUUCAAUUAUAAUUACGGAAAAUCGUAAGAAUUGACGAUUCUAAGGAGGACUUAAAAGUAAAUUAGAUUAUAUAAAUAAUUUGAAUAAGGCUCUGAAAUGUGCACACAUCGCCCGUCGCUCUUGUUGGAAAAUAAGAUAAGUCGUAACAUAGUAGGGGUAAUGGAAAUUGCCCCUAAACU
rnacentral:rRNA from 1 species